GCGCCGAACUCAUGCGCAGACUUGGGUCGGCGGAGUUUUGUCAGAAAGAUUGAGGCGAUUGCGCACUUUCUGGGAGGGGGACUUGUGGGCCUAGGUGUAUUCUUCUGAGGCGUAGAGGCGGUUCCUCUGAAAGAUGCGAGUUUAUUGACUACACCUGGUGAUUACAGCUGUGCCUGCUCACCUAAACCUGCACCUCACAUGCAGCGAGCCAGAAAUGACCUCUUCCUCCCGGCAGACCUACUCGUCUCCUCUGUUGUCACUACCGUGACCUAGUCACUAAAACCUGGACAUUAUCUUUCCUGCCCCUCUUACCAAGUCCCAGCAAUUGUAACUUUCCUUUUUUUUUUAAACUCCAGCCCUCCUCUUUCA